rnacentral:rRNA from 1 species
GGAGUCACGCCAGAAAUCUUACCCGGAGAGACAGCAGAAUGAAGGUCAAGCUGAAGACUUUACCAGACAAGCUGAGAGGUGGUGCAUGGCCGUCGCCAGCUCGUGCCGUGAGAUGUCCUGUUAAGUCAGGUAACGAGCGAGAUCCCUGCCUCUAGUUGCCACCAUUACUCUCAGGAGUAGUGGGGCGAAUUAGCGGGACCGCCGCAGUUAAUGCGGAGGAAGGAAGGGGCCACGGCAGGUCAGUAUGCCCCGAAACUCUGGGGCCACACGCGGGCUGCAAUGGUAGCGACAAUUGGUUUCGAAUCCGAAAGGAUGAGGUAAUCCACAAACGCUACCACAGUUAUGACUGAGGGCUGCAACUCGCCCUCACGAAUAUGGAAUCCCUAGUAACUGCGUGUCAUUAUCGCGCGGUGAAUACGUCCCUGCUCCUUGCACACACCGCCCGUCGUUUCAUUGAAGUGAGCUUUUAGCGAGGUGACGUCUGAUUGGCGUUAUCAAACUUGAGGUUCGUGACAAGGGAAAAGUCGUAACAAGGUGACCGUAGGGGAACCUGCGGUCGGAUCA